UCCAGGACGGACAGCGGACGACGAGGGACGAACAUGCAGCGACCCAGACGGACGGCUGCGACGGAACGGAGGAACACAAGCUGGUCAUCUUACCUUCAGGCUGUGCCCCCGUGCCACAGGAGGUUUCUGUGCUCAGCUGGCAGCAGGCGGUCUUAAUUCCACCCCUUUCUUGUGUAGUACUGGUG